AAUCAAUCAACCACACCAUUGCCGUAUGGUUCUGCUACUACCCAUCCCCAGGACUCUCCCUCUAGGGGGUGUGACCAUGACUCUGUGCCUGGUCUGAGGAUGCCCUCCGUCGUCACUCCUUAUAACCAGUUACCUCCGUUGAGACUUGGUCGGUACGGCGCACGUCCUUCUUAGUAGAUACCACACAUUUGACGAAAACAUGCCCUUCUUUUUCUUAAUGCUCAUUAAAUGACUGCCAUGGCAUUCUUAUUCCUAGCCGAUUGAGGCACGGUCGUCGGCGCCAUUAUGCCUCCUAGGUUCGCAAUAGGCCUUAGUAACCCAAAUUUCCCAGGCAUCCGCCGAUAUAUUCAGUCACCACUUUCAAAAGCCGAAUUGGCUUUUUAACGGUAACUAUGACAUACCGAACUUACUAACACCUCAUUGAUCUUAUACAUCACAUCGCCACUUUACGAAUCUAUAAUGUACCUUAUGGUUAACGCUUCCGUCCAAUGAUUGUUAAUUAACUGCGACUACCUGCUUUCGCACCCAUCGCUUGUCCUAAUCUAUGGGACCAUCAGGUGCGGCAUUUGCUACCUAUGAUCGACAAGCCCGCAUUCGAACUCACCGAUUCGCUUUCACUAUUCAAGGGUG
rnacentral:rRNA from 1 species